GAUGAAGAACGUAGCGAAAUGCGAUACUUGGUGUGAAUUGCAGAAUCCCGUGAACCAUCGAGUCUUUGAACGCAAGUUGCGCCUCAAGCCAUUAGGUUGAGGGCACGUCUGCCUGGGCGUCACAUAUCGUUGCCUGAUGCCAGUUUCCUCGUGAUGGGUGACUGUGCAGGGCGAAUGAUGGCUUCCCGUGAGCAUUGUUGCCUCAUGGUUGGUUGAAAAUUGAGUCCUUGGUAGGGAGCGCCGUGAUAGAUGGUGGUUGAGUGACGAACGAGACCCAAUCAUGUGAGACCCCUACCGAAUUUGGCCUUCAUGACCCACAUGCGUCUUUGGAACGCUCAUGACGAGACCUCAGGUCAGGCGGGGCUACCCGCUGAGUUUAAGCAUAUCAAUAAACGGAGGA
rnacentral:misc_RNA from 1 species